UUAAGCGACUAAGCGUACACGGUGGAUGCCCUGGCAGUCAGAGGCGAUGAAGGACGUGCUAAUCUGCGAUAAGCGUCGGUAAGGUGAUAUGAACCGUUAUAACCGGCGAUUUCCGAAUGGGGAAACCCAGUGUGAUUCGUCACACUAUCAUUAACUGAAUCCAUAGGUUAAUGAGGCGAACCGGGGAACUGAAACAUCUAAGUACCCCGAGGAAAAGAAAUCAACCGAGAUUCCCCCAGUAGCGGCGAGCGAACGGGGAGCAGCCCAGAGCCUGAAUCAGUGUGUGUGUUAGUGGAAGCGUCUGGAAAGGCGUGCGAUACAGGGUGACAGCCCCGUACACAAAAAUGCACAUAUUGUGAGCUCGAUGAGUAGGGCGGGACACGUGGUAUCCUGUCUGAAUAUGGGGGGACCAUCCUCCAAGGCUAAAUACUCCUGACUGACCGAUAGUGAACCAGUACCGUGAGGGAAAGGCGAAAAGAACCCCGGCGAGGGGAGUGAAAAAGAACCUGAAACCGUGUACGUACAAGCAGUGGGAGCACGCUUAGGCGUGUGACUGCGUACCUUUUGUAUAAUGGGUCAGCGACUUAUAUUCUGUAGCAAGGUUAACCGAAUAGGGGAGCCGAAGGGAAACCGAGUCUUAACUGGGCGUUAAGUUGCAGGGUAUAGACCCGAAACCCGGUGAUCUAGCCAUGGGCAGGUUGAAGGUUGGGUAACACUAACUGGAGGACCGAACCGACUAAUGUUGAAAAAUUAGCGGAUGACUUGUGGCUGGGGGUGAAAGGCCAAUCAAACCGGGAGAUAGCUGGUUCUCCCCGAAAGCUAUUUAGGUAGCGCCUCGUGAAUUCAUCUCCGGGGUAGAGCACUGUUUCGGCAAGGGGGUCAUCCCGACUUACCAACCCGAUGCAAACUGCGAAUACCGGAGAAUGUUAUCACGGGAGACACACGGCGGGUGCUAACGUCCGUCGUGAAGAGGGAAACAACCCAGACCGCCAGCUAAGGUCCCAAAGUCAUGGUUAAGUGGGAAACGAUGUGGGAAGGCCCAGACAGCCAGGAUGUUGGCUUAGAAGCAGCCAUCAUUUAAAGAAAGCGUAAUAGCUCACUGGUCGAGUCGGCCUGCGCGGAAGAUGUAACGGGGCUAAACCAUGCACCGAAGCUGCGGCAGCGACACUAUGUGUUGUUGGGUAGGGGAGCGUUCUGUAAGCCUGUGAAGGUGUACUGUGAGGUAUGCUGGAGGUAUCAGAAGUGCGAAUGCUGACAUAAGUAACGAUAAAGCGGGUGAAAAGCCCGCUCGCCGGAAGACCAAGGGUUCCUGUCCAACGUUAAUCAGGGCAGGGUGAGUCGACUCCUAAGGCGAGGCCGAAAGGCGUAGUCGAUGGGAAACAGGUUAAUAUUCCUGUACUUGGUGUUACUGCGAAGGGGGACGGAGAAGGCUAUGUUGGCCGGGCGACGGUUGUCCCGGUUUAAGCGUGUAGGCUGGUUUUCCAGGCAAAUCCGGAAAACUAAGGCUGAGGCGUGAUGACGAGGCACUACGGUGCUGAAGCAACAAAUGCCCUGCUUCCAGGAAAAGCCUCUAAGCAUCAGGUAACAUCAAAUCGUACCCCAAACCGACACAGGUGGUCAGGUAGAGAAUACCAAGGCGCUUGAGAGAACUCGGGUGAAGGAACUAGGCAAAAUGGUGCCGUAACUUCGGGAGAAGGCACGCUGAUAUGUAGGUGAAGUCCCUCGCGGAUGGAGCUGAAAUCAGUCGAAGAUACCAGCUGGCUGCAACUGUUUAUUAAAAACACAGCACUGUGCAAACACGAAAGUGGACGUAUACGGUGUGACGCCUGCCCGGUGCCGGAAGGUUAAUUGAUGGGGUCAGCGCAAGCGAAGCUCUUGAUCGAAGCCCCGGUAAACGGCGGCCGUAACUAUAACGGUCCUAAGGUAGCGAAAUUCCUUGUCGGGUAAGUUCCGACCUGCACGAAUGGCGUAAUGAUGGCCAGGCUGUCUCCACCCGAGACUCAGUGAAAUUGAACUCGCUGUGAAGAUGCAGUGUACCCGCGGCAAGACGGAAAGACCCCGUGAACCUUUACUAUAGCUUGACACUGAACAUUGAGCCUUGAUGUGUAGGAUAGGUGGGAGGCUUUGAAGUGUGGACGCCAGUCUGCAUGGAGCCGACCUUGAAAUACCACCCUUUAAUGUUUGAUGUUCUAACGUUGACCCGUAAUCCGGGUUGCGGACAGUGUCUGGUGGGUAGUUUGACUGGGGCGGUCUCCUCCUAAAGAGUAACGGAGGAGCACGAAGGUUGGCUAAUCCUGGUCGGACAUCAGGAGGUUAGUGCAAUGGCAUAAGCCAGCUUGACUGCGAGCGUGACGGCGCGAGCAGGUGCGAAAGCAGGUCAUAGUGAUCCGGUGGUUCUGAAUGGAAGGGCCAUCGCUCAACGGAUAAAAGGUACUCCGGGAUAACAGGCUGAUACCGCCCAAGAGUUCAUAUCGACGGCGGUGUUUGGCACCUCGAUGUCGGCUCAUCACAUCCUGGGGCUGAAGUAGGUCCCAAGGGUAUGGCUGUUCGCCAUUUAAAGUGGUACGCGAGCUGGGUUUAGAACGUCGUGAGACAGUUCGGUCCCUAUCUGCCGUGGGCGCUGGAGAACUGAGGGGGGCUGCUCCUAGUACGAGAGGACCGGAGUGGACGCAUCACUGGUGUUCGGGUUGUCAUGCCAAUGGCACUGCCCGGUAGCUAAAUGCGGAAGAGAUAAGUGCUGAAAGCAUCUAAGCACGAAACUUGCCCCGAGAUGAGUUCUCCCUGACUCCUUGAGAGUCCUGAAGGAACGUUGAAGACGACGACGUUGAUAGGCCGGGUGUGUAAGCGCAGCGAUGCGUUGAGCUAACCGGUACUAAUGAACCGUGAGGCUUAACCUU
rnacentral:rRNA from 1 species